rnacentral:rRNA from 1 species
GAUGAACGCUGGCGGCGUGCCUAAUACAUGCAAGUCGAGCGAACAGAUGAGGAGCUUGCUCCUCUGACGUUAGCGGCGGACGGGUGAGUAACAUGUGGAUAACCUACCUAUAAGACUGGGAUAACUUCGGGAAACCGGAGCUAAUACCGGAUAAUAUAUUGAACCGCAUGGUUCAAUAGUGAAAGACGGUUUUGCUGUUACUUAUAGAUGGAUCCGCGCCGCAUUAGCUAGUUGGUAAGGUAACGGCUUACCAAGGCAACGAUGCGUAGCCGACCUGAGAGGGUGAUCGGCCACACUGGAACUGAGACACGGUCCAGACUCCUACGGGAGGCAGCAGUAGGGAAUCUUCCGCAAUGGGCGAAAGCCUGACGGAGCAACGCCGCGUGAGUGAUGAAGGUCUUCGGAUCGUAAAACUCUGUUAUUAGGGAAGAACAAAUGUGUAAGUAACUAUGCACGUCUUGACGGUACCUAAUCAGAAAGCCACGGCUAACUACGUG